rnacentral:misc_RNA from 1 species
GAUGAAGAACGCAGUGAAAUGCGAUAAGUAAUGAGAAUUGCAGAAUUCAGUGAAUCAUCGAAUCUUUGAACGCACAUUGCGCCCGCCAGUAUUCUGGCGGGCAUGCCUGUUCGAGCGUCAUUUCAACCAUCAAGCCCCAGGCUUGUGUUGGGGACCUGCGGCUGCCGCAGGCCCUGAAAACCAGUGGCGGGCUCGCUGUCACACCGGGCGUAGUAGAUUUUAUCUCGCUCAGGGCGUGCUGCGGGUUCCGGCCGUUAAAAAGCCUUUUUUACCCAAGGUUGACCUCGGAUCAGGUAGGAAGACCCGCUGAACUUAAGCAUAUCAAUAAGCGGAGGA